rnacentral:rRNA from 1 species
UACGGGGGGAGCAAGCGUUGUUCGGAUUUACUGGGCGUAAAGGGCGCGUAGGCGGCCACCGCAAGUCGACUGUGAAAUCUCCGGGCUUAACCCGGAAAGGUCAGCCGAUACUGCGGGGCUAGAGUGCAGAAGGGGCAACUGGAAUUCUCGGUGUAGCGGUGAAAUGCGUAGAUAUCGAGAGGAACACCUGCGGCGAAGGCGCCUUGCUGGCCAAUUUCUGACGCUGAGGCGCGAAAGCGUGGGGAGCAAACAGG